rnacentral:rRNA from 1 species
UACGGAGGGGACUAGCGUUGUUCGGAAUUACUGGGCGUAAAGCGCGCGUAGGCGGCUUUGCAAGCCGGAUGUGAAAUCCCCGGGCUUAACCUGGGAACUGCAUUCGGGACUGCAUUGCUAGAGUAUGGGAGAGGGAAGUGGAAUUCCUGGUGUAGCGGUGAAAUGCGCAGAUAUCAGGAGGAACACCGGUGGCGAAGGCGGGUCUCUGGGCCGAUACUGACGCUGAGGAGCGAAAGCGUGGGGAGCGAACAGG